CACCCGAUAGCACAUGGUGUGCAUCUGCUGGUCAUAGACAUAGAUUGUUUAAUUUGAUUUGGAAUGCGGAAGGACCCUGUUCGAGCCGGGGUCGGGUGA